GACCAGCCGUAAACUUUUACUUACACUCAAUCGCCAGGGAACUACGAGCUAAGCUUAAAACCCAAAGGACUUGACGGUACCCCAUAUCCCCCUAGAGGAGCCUGUCCUAUAAUCGAUAACCCACGUUAAACCUCCCCCUUUUUUAGUUAAUCAGCCUGUAUACCUCCGUCGUCAGCUUACCACGUGAGCGUUAAUUAGUGAGCCUAAUGUUUUUCACCAAUACGUCAGGUCAAGGUGCAGCAAAUGAAAUGGGAAGAGAUGGGCUACACUCUCUAUUUUAAAAAAAACGAAAAACUACCUAUGAAACCUAGUUAGAAGGCGGAUUUAGCAGUAAAAAGGAAUCAGCAUGUCCCUUUUAAUCCGGCACUGGGGUGUGUACACACCGCCCGUCA
rnacentral:rRNA from 1 species